UACGGGGGGGGCAAGCGUUGUUCGGAAUUACUGGGCGUAAAGGGCGCGUAGGCGGCCUACUAAGUCGGACGUGAAAUCCCUCGGCUCAACCGAGGAACUGCGCUCUAAACUGUCGUGCUAGAGGAAGCUAGAGGUGAUCGGAACUGAUGGUGGAGCGGUGAAAUGCGUUGAUAUCAUCAGGAACACCGGAGGCGAAGGCGGCUCACUGGGGCUUUUCUGACGCUGAGGAACGAAAGCCAGGGUAGCGAACGGG
rnacentral:rRNA from 1 species